rnacentral:rRNA from 1 species
GCUAAACGCGAAGAACCUUACCUGGCCCUGACAUGUCCGGAAUUCUGCAGAGAUGCGGAAGUGCCUUCGGGAAUCGGAACACAGGUGCUGCAUGGCUGUCGUCAGCUCGUGUCGUGAGAUGUUGGGUUAAGUCCCGCAACGAGCGCAACCCUUGUCCUUAGUUGCCAGCGAGUAAUGUCGGGAACUCUAAGGAGACUGCCGGUGACAAACCGGAGGAAGGUGGGGAUGACGUCAAGUCCUCAUGGCCCUUACGGCCAGGGCUACACACGUACUACAAUGGUCGGUACAGAGGGUUGCCAAACCGCAAGGUGGAGCCAAUCCCAGAAAGCCGAUCCCAGUCCGGAUCGGAGUCUGCAACUCGACUCCGUGAAGUCGGAAUCGCUAGUAAUCGCGGAUCAGCUAUGCCGCGGUGAAUACGUUCCCGGGUCUUGUACACACCG